GUCCUGGAUCUCUCUUCUACUGUCUGGUUUCCUUUACCAUAAGACCCUUGGGAAUCAAUUCUCAUAGCUUGACCAGGUUACUAGCCCCAGGAAGUGGCUUGAAGAGCAUAAAUGACUCCCACAGGUCCUAAUUCCCAAGAAUUGAAUGACACCUCCAGAGCCCCAGGAAUGGAUGCAGUAACAAAGAAGAGAGGGAUUUUGGGUCUCCAGUCUAUUUCUAAUGUAGUUACACGUACCAUGUGGAUACUCAAUAAAUGCUAAUUGGCAAUGGUGCUGAUGAUUUAUUGUCUCAGUUAUCUCCCGGUAUGUUGGAUGUUCUGUUAUCAUUAAACAUUUAUCAUCGUGUCAUUACUAGCCAAGGCAGCACAAUCUAGAAAAGCAGUACAAAGAAUGACCCCCAGUGAACAGUCCACGGACUCAUAAUUAUCGACCUCCUCACCCUCUGACCCCUGCCCUGCAACCCUGCUAAUGAAAUGGCAUUUGGAGAAGGAGUAUGUGAUGAGAACCCUUCACCACUGAGAUUAUACUAGGUCAAGUCCUUGCCAUUCUUUGAGAUCACUAUGCUUGGUGCUUGCUACUGACAAAGUCUAUUGACAUUUUCUCCUGACCAUACUCUUUUCCGAUGGGGCUUGAUGUAGAUAAGGCUUGCCACGGGUAGUGCCAGACAUAGACUGGACGUGCUAUGGACAGAGAUUGCUCCUGGUGAUGCUCAUUAUCAUUAUCAUUAAGGCAGGUCCUCACUAGUGGAUUUACUAUCCAUGAUCAACUUGGGACCAGCUCGCUCUUUUAUGUUGGACAUGUCAAGGCUGUGAACUCUGCUUACUUAAUAGGCUGGUGAUGCUUGUGAGCAGUAAUCUUGUGUCUUGGGUUCUUUGUAGGUCCUGAAGCCUUUGAUCCAAAAGGACCAGGAACAUUUGGAGCUGCUACUUAACAGUGUUCUUUUCCUUAUCUGUGCCAGUCUGAUUGUUGUCAUCCCACUUGGUCAUAACAUCCUGCUGAGUCUGGCUGGUAUGACUGCUGUUGGACCAGGUAGAAUGAUUGCUGCCUGUUGAGGUGGACCAACUGCUGCCCAAACUGCUGUUGCUGUCGCUCUUAGUGCCUCUGCAUUCCUCUGUGCUGCUCGUCAUGUUGAUAUGGCUGGUAAAGCUGCUCUGAUUGCUGACUAGAUCAUUAGUAUGACAGCUAGUCACACUGGUCUUGCUCUUGGCGGACAAAGCGGUCUGUUUUUUGACUGCCUCACCAUCUGCCUUGGGAGUCUGGCUUUUAUUGGCCUGGAGGGGUGUAGAGCUGGGAGGAGGGCUAGCCUGAGGGCUGCCCGUCACACUGGGGCACUUGUCCGCCACUCUGAUCUAAAGGGACCCUUGCUCAGCUGGACUCACUGCUGCUGCUGGUGAAGCUGCUCUUGGUGACCACGCACGUCUAUCGUCUCUCCUCAGGCCAGCUGUGGUAUUUUGACUUUUGUUCUGCCUGUCACUGAUGCUUCUUUCAGGUUUCCACAGCAAAACCUCCCCUGUUGGAAUCCAUGUCUAAGGGUGUGGGUGUAGAUUUUGUUUUGUCCUGGACGGUGGCCUUACCACAAGGCUGGAGCCCUAAGUUUGAGCCUAGAGAGGUGGGUUCAAUCCUUACCUCCUUGGUGGAGUCUGGGGGAGUCUCUAUCUUGGGUGGGUGAUUCCUUGGGGAAAGGUGGUCAGAUUGGCCCCAGGUAUAUGAGCUUUUAGAGUGCCAUGGGGCAAAGCCCUGGCUCUUUGCUGAAGGCAACAUUUCCAGCCUUUUAAAAAAUAAGUCCCUCUGAUUGGCUGUACUGGUUCCCAUGGUGAUCUAGCCUAUGAGGUAGAACAGAAAGGAGAGUGUUGCUAAGGGGCAGUAGCUCAUAAAAAAAGUAGUUCAUGAAAUUGGUUUGGGGUGGAGGCUGCAGAUCUAGUAAAGAUGUGUUCUCUCUGUUCUUAUAGGGUAGACUAUUAGGGUUCUGUGCCUGACAGGGCUAAUGGACAGCCAUCCCUACUUCCUAGGACCAUAUAUUUAGAAUUGUAGAGGCCAUUCCCUUUGUUUUAUAGUUGAGGAAACUGAGGCACUGAGUCAUUAAAGUACUUGGUCAAGGCCUGAUAAAUGCUUAGGGUGGGAUUUGAACUCAAGUCUUCCUGACUCUAAACCUAGCACUCUAUUCACUCUUCUUCCUCAGGAUAUUGGAUCAGCAGGCAAUUUAGCCUGGCAGCCUACUCUUGAACCUUGCGGCUCCAGAGAUUAGUUUCUUUACUCUCCAUGACUGGCUCUGACAACUCAUUCUCCCUCCUCAUCCUGCUCAUCUCAUAUGAAUAAAUUGAGAGAAGUUAUGAAAUGCUUCAUUAAAACCUAGGAAAAUGAUGUCUACAGUAAUGCCCUGAAUGACCUGUUUAGUAACCAUGUUUGUUAGAAAAGAAAAUGAAUAAAUCUGUCAUGACUUGUUCUUGA